AGUAAGGACCCUUUGAUAGAGUGCAUCAUGGGGGUUCAAAUCCCCCCGGCUCCU
rnacentral:tRNA from 1 species